UGUGUUUGCGCAUGUAUGUAUGAUCUGUGAUACUCUAAGUUGUUUAACUAUAAAUGUGAAUUUGAAAUGUAGCGUUAAGUUUCAAGAGAAAAAAAGCCAUUCCUUGUGAAUGAAAUGGCGUGCCUUAGCUCAAUGUUGCAUCCUUCUAGUGUACAGCCACCGGCUGAAUGUAGCAGUAUCGACAGCUCAAUAUUACAUCCUGAUGGAUAAUUUCGAAGAUAGCUCUGCAAUAUGUCUAGGAAAGACUCCGCCUAUUUCGAAUAUCACUUCAGCAUGCAUUGCCCACACCUGAACAUGGUGAUCCUGUAGUCUAUUCACCAUCCUUGUUGCAUUGGAAUAGAUCAGAAAAUAAGUCUGAAUUUAAAGAUUUAAUGCUAGACUAGUCUUCGUAGAAAAAGUGGGACGCCCCCAAGUGAUGCGUUUCAUCUUUGGACACUGCACAUGUUUUAGAAACUCGCUUGAUAAACUGAAAGCUGUCUUGUAGGAUCGACCUUCUGCUGAUGGAUGCUACUGUGGACAAGGCGUCUCUCGCUCACUGACGAUGGAUAUUUAAAAACAUUCUGCACCUAUUAAUCUGGAUUAGCCGUAAUCUAUCCCUGAAGACGGCGAACUUCCAUACAAGGCCAGGUCUGAAACUUGUUGAUCUCAAGUCGCUUCCAGUCUCGUAAAAACUUGAAGCAAGGCAUCAGCGCUUUGUAACUAUGGAAGUCUGAAUGGAAAAUGGACUCGUCAUGGGUGAUAUAUUUAUUUAAACUAAGUAUAUUAAAUUUAGAAAUUAUUUUGAACAUUUUUGGAGCAAGUUCACAAUCCUUUCCCUGCGCUGAUCGUUUCAAGAUUAAGGCUUGCAGAGUUGUCUCUGUAAAAUUCUGCAAACAUGCACGUGCUUGUAAAUUCAACUCGCGAUCUAGAAUUGGAUAAUGACCCCCAUACUGUUUGUGUAUGAAAGUAUCUUAAAUUUUAUUACUCAAGCCACAAAAUUGAAAGCAUAGCCUCGAGGUGACGCAUCCAAGGCCUAAACUCCACCAAUAGGCCAGAAAAAAUUUUAAAUGUAACAAUUCUUAAUAUAUUUUAAACUUUAAAUUACAUAAAUAUAACAAGGAAAGUUUAUAACUCUUCCAACAUUGCAGUAUCAUAAUUAUCCGGGAAUUUUGAUCCCAGAACAAUUAAGUAUUGUUGCUCAUCCCCCUUGGAUUGAACACUAAUUCAAACCAAGUCCAAGAGAUCGGAGAAAGAGGGAUGCAGUAGCUUCAGAGGGCAAAGACACCGGAGAACCCAACGGCUGAAGUCUGAUUUUAUCUCAUGCGAAGAUGACACUCACACUCGCUUGCACAACCCCUUUUUACAGAGGGCACUUUCCUAUACCUCGGAGAACCAUGCCCGAACCAGAACUCGAACCCGGGACGCCCAGAUCAUGGAAUGACGCGCUACCCCAAGGCCAGGACGCCGGCUUAAACGGAAAUUUGCAUGCAAGUCUUUGUGUUUUAGCAUAAAACCACUUUGCUUAUACCUGGUGUACUUUCGUGAUGCAAAAAGGCAAACCCAUGUUUAUCAAAAGUCAAGGAGCGUGAUUUUCUGUUAUAAUAGAAAUUACGAAUUACUACACCAUAUUCCACAACUUCUACACAAGUAAUACAUGAAAAUGGGUGCGAGUUAGGUUCAAACCAGUUGUCCCGCUUAAACGGAAAUUAUUUGGUGGGAAAUAUAUGUAAAUACAAUAAAAGGGGUUCAGGUAAGGUAAUUCUUGGUCAUUGCCGACUAGCUAUUCUUUUUCGAACAUGAAUAUUUGAAGACUUCGCGAGCAUUAUUCCAAAUCCGCAUAUAAUAAAUUGAAUUUUGAGCUUAAACACGAAGAAUGUUCAUUAAUAGGUAAGAGACGCGCCUAUACAAACGCGUCUGCAUGGAAUAUUUUCAAGAAUAUUCAAAACUUCUUUCUAAGCUUUCGAAACCCUCCAUGUGAUUAAAUUGCGCGUCAGUGUAAACUAAAUGAAAUGCUUCAGUACUAGCACGAGUUAACUUCUGUGUUUAUCGAAUUAGUUUAAUUGUAUAUAUAGAUGUUCAAAAUUCGGCAUUUUCCAAUGUUGAAAAUAUGAAACUAAACUUCUUUAUAGAAAUGAUGUGCACUAGUCAAAGAAUAUAGAGCAAAAUUUAAAGCAUUGGUUUUCAACAAGUGGGUUAAUUUAUAGGAACCUUGGGGACGCUAUCGAAUUUUUGAACUAUAUUUUACUCGGCAAAAUCAACUUGAUUAGAAAGAUAAUGUCAUUUUACACAACUAACAACUAAUUUCUUUCCAAUCAUUUUCUCGUUUUUGUCUUGUAUUAAUAAAUAGGGUCGCGAGUUUUCUCUCGUAAAUCAGUUCGCUACGAAUCUUUGCAUUAAUAGGGAAAUUAGUCCCGAGAUAAGAUGUUAGUGAUGGGUCCUCUGAUCAACCCUUUCCAGGUUUCGAGAAGUAGAGGGUGGGGUAGGUGCCAGCCGGCUGGUAAGAGGAAGGGAAUGAGACUGCUAAUGUCUGGAUUCGCCUUGUAACUCCCCCUCCCCCACCAUCAUAUUAUAAAGAAGCUUAUUUUAUACUUUCAGCUUUGGAAACAUUAAAUCUCGCCCUUGAAGACAGUAUAACGAAUAAUUAGUUUCCCAUCGCUAAUUCGACAAUUCACACUUCUAUUUAUCAGUAGAAAAUUUACUUUUUGCACAUGUAACAUUGGUAAAAAAUGCUUUCAAAUUGAAAAAAAUAUUGGUGAAAUAUUCGCCUCCAAAACGCGAUUAUCUUCAAACAGAUGUUUCGUAGGAGUAUCGUGCCGUUUUACCCGGUAGAGCUCUGAAUAUUCAUUUGAGAAUAGAAUAGCUAGUUGGCAUUGCGUAGUCAAACUCUUUAGCUCCAUUCAUUUAUAUCACGAUAGUGCUUUCGCCAUGUUUUUAGAAAUACUUUGCUAAAAACAAUUUUAAUACGAGUCCAAACCCUCGAGUCUCUUUCAACCUGUAAUUUUAAACAACUCACGAGCAAAGCAUUUGCAGAUAAACUCUCUCCACAUUCGUUCAACACUUGAAAGAUUUUGACAUUUAUUAAUUGGAGAUUGUUGAACGCUGGGAUGACAGCCUUUGUAGCUAAAAAUUCCUAAACCCCUUCAAACAAAACAAA